ensembl:snoRNA
CUGGCCCUGAAUCAAGGCCGGCAGCUUCCUGACACUACUGGUUUCCAGCAGGAGCCUAAAGAGAUGUCUUUCUAUGGUCUGUUGGCCAUUUCAGAACUUGGGCAGUGAAAUGGUCAACUGAUUAGAAAGAAACAGCU